rnacentral:tRNA from 1 species
GAUCGGCUGGAUCUUCGGAUCUCCCCGAUAUGAACCUUCCCGUGCUUUUUAGAACAUAGAUGGCACCAGUCAGGUGACCAUCGAAACGUAAUACGCCGCGAUGACUUCGGUCACGACGGUAUGGCGAGCUUUCGCCGUCCACGUUUCUCUUUCUUCAAGAAGACAAAAAACCGCGUCGAUCCAGUUUAGGCUGGGCCGGUUCCCCGAAUGGGCCCGUAGCUCAGUUGGUUAGAGCACACGCUUGAUAAGCGUGGGGUCGGAAGUUCAAGUCUUCCCGGGCCCACCAUUUGCACCAGCAAAUGAAAUUUGCUGUAGCGAAUGAGGGUUAGGGAUGAUGGAAUGUGGCUGAUGCGGAUUGUUGCCGAACCUGGGCUUGUCCUGGGUGAUCGAGCUGGAGGGGCUGUAGCUCAGCUGGGAGAGCACCUGCUUUGCAAGCAGGGGGUCAGCGGUUCGAUCCCGCUCAGCUCCACCAAAUCGAUUGGUGUUGAAGCUGACGGCAUUUGUCUUUUGAAGAAAUAAAAGUUUUGCAUCGGCUUAUGGCUGAUGCGUGUUCUGCAUACAUUGUGAAGAGAAGAUUGAUCUGGAGGCUUCCAGGUGUUUUGGGUUCUGCCCAAGGCGUCCGAGCCCAGUUCCUGUGAACCCAUGGAUGGCCUAGCCGGCCGGAUGUGGUGGAGGGAUUGGAGGUAGGAAGGAAGCUUGUCGCUCUGAGCCGUUGUUGUUUGUGGUCUUUCGGGGACUGCAUCUGACGGACGGCUUGAUUACCGUUGCCUGACCGCGCGGUAUCGGAUCAUAUCUCGAGAAGCUGGUCUUAAGACAGGCUGC